CUAUUUGUUUGGAUUUAUGGGAAAAUGAUAUAAAAGUUACAUCCUUUUGAAAAACUUUGGCGAUUGUUAACUAGGUCAGCCAGUGUCUCAGCUCUCUCUUUCCCCGCCUAUGCCUCCAACUGAAGACCCUUUCCCCCCCAGGUACGUUCGCCAUCGUCUUCCUUUCUAUUUUGCACAAAUUUUUGCAUGUUUAUGAUGUUAAGCUCUACAAACAUGUUAAAUUUGUAUACGCUUACAUUAUUAUCCUAACACUUAGCUGCCGUCGCCCAUUGUGUUGGUUCAGUUUUAAUUAUCCCGGUUGUUCUUCGCUCUCUGUUCUCCAAUGGUGUUCAGAAAUCUGUCCUGUUACCCCUCUGCUGCGACGGAGGUGUCAUCUUCGUCUUUGUCUUCAUCAAAAGUUGCUCAAAAAGAUACAAAACUCUCGUCCCUCUUUAUGUUCCGAAAAAUACCCAAGUCUCGGAAACCCGAAAGCACUGAAAAAAAUACAACAAAACCUAGAAAACCCACUUCUUCAAAUCAAAUAAACUCUUCGGGAAGCUCAGUUCCUAAGGCUCCUGUCCCAACCUUACUUCAAAAGUUACUCAAAACCAAGUGCAACUCAGGUAAUGGUUCUCUCUCUGAAUUGCGUUUCUGCUUUGAUGAGAUGAUUCGCAUGAAGCCCACGCCUCCAGUGUCAUCAUUCGAUUCUUUGAUAGUUGUUUUAGCUAAGAAUAAGCAUUACUCUGAUGUUUUUAAGGUUUAUAAUUGGAUAAACUCAAAUGGGUUGUUGCCUAGUUUCAUAAUGAUUAAUGUUUUGCUUAAUUGCUUCUGCAAUUUAAAUCGUGUGUCUGAUGGUUUUGUGGCAUUGGGAAGCAUGAUAAGGAGGGGUUAUAGUCCAAAUAUUGUGACUUAUACAUCUUUAGUUAAAGGGUUGUGUUCGGAGAAUAAGAUUUUUGAGGCAAUUCGCUUAUUUAAGAAGAUUUUCAAGUUGGGGUGUGAGCCCAAUGCGGUCACCUUUGGUACUCUGAUUAACGGAUUGUGUAGGACUGGAAAUACUUCUAUUGCACUCAAGUUACAUGAAGAAAUGGCUAGUGGGAAAGAUCAUGGAGAUGGUUUUAAGUGCAAACCGAAUCUAGUUUGGUAUGGAGCUAUCAUUGAUGGGCUCUGUAAGGAAGGGUUGGUAGAAAAGGCGCAAGAACUAUUCUUGGAAAUGAAAGCUGACGGGGUUCGUCCUGAUGUUGUUGUUUAUAGCUCUUUGAUGCAUGGUUUGUGCUACGCAGAUAAAUGGGAAGAGGCCAAAGGUCUGUUCAAUGAGAUGACAGAUCAAGAGGUGCGGCCUAAUGUGGUGACUUUUAAUGUGUGGAUAGAUGUGCUUUCUAAGACGGGAAAGAUGAAAGAAGCUUAUGAUGUGCUAGAAAUGAUGACCCAGACAGGCGAGCAUCCUGAUGAAAUCACUUACAACAUUUUGUUAGAUGGCUUAUGUCAAACUGGUAGGCUUAGUGAAGCCAAGAAACUAUUUCUUUCCCUUACAAAUAAAGGGUUUAAACCUGAUUCAUUUAGCUACAACAUGUUGAUUCGUGGGCUUUGCAAGAAAUCAAAGAUUAAUGAAGCUUUGAGUCUCUUCAGGGAAAUGAUGCCAAAGGGAGUUAAGCCCACAGAAGUAACAUAUAAUACCUUAAUAGGUGGUCUCUUCCAUACCGGUAACAUUGAUGAUGCCCGCAGACUGUUCACUGAGAUGCAAACUCAUCAUCUUGUACCAAAUGCAAGUACGUAUGCUGUGUUUUUGGGUGGACUGUGCAAGAACAAGCAUGUUUCAGAGGCGUUGGAAGUUUUUCAUAGCCUUAAAAAUUGCGAGUUUGAGCUGAAUAUUCAAAUUUUCAAUACUCUUAUUGAUGGGUUGUGUAAAUCAGAAAAGUUUGAGAUUGCUUGGGAGCUAUAUCAGGGUUUUGUCGAAAGAGGCCUUGUGCCUAAUGUUGUGACAUAUUCCAUCUUGAUACAUGCCCUUUGCAAAAAUGGAGAUUUAGAAAAGGCAAAAGGUAUGUUUCUUGAAAUGGAUCAAAAAGGUUGUGCCCCAAAUUUUGUUACAUAUAACACACUAAUGCAUGCUUUUAUAAAAAACAAUGAGCUGCCGAAAGUGGUUGAACUUCUUCAUAAAAUGGCGGAGAAAAAUGUGCCGCCAGAUGCCUCUACAUUCGCCAUCGUGAUAGACGUACUAUCAAAGGAUGAAAAGUAUCGCCAAUGUCUAAGUUUGCUUCCAACAUUUCCUGUCCAGAAGCAAUUGAGAGUGGAAAUGAUUAGUCUCAAGUCAGUGGCAUGAGUUUUAGUUUACGAUCUUCAUUUGGAAAUGUUCUGGAGCUUGAUGAAAUUUAGUUCUUUAACCGGAAGCUACAUAAUAUGAAGGGUGGAAGUGGAAGAGCUCAAUUCAACCUUCUUGUGAUUGAAGAAAUAAUAUUGUGUGGACCUGGCUGCAAUGUAUCUCUAGACUCACCUGAAUAGUGUAUCAGUGUAUUUAGUGCAUUUUUUUUCCUCUUUGUUUUUUUUCUCAUACCAUGGAGUAAUUGUAUAUAAUAGAGUUUAACAACAAUAGAAUCAUUGCUUGUUAAGUCUAACAUCAUUCUUUUGUUCCAGCAAAAAAAUUAAAAACAUCAUUAUUUUGGUGUCUGAUGUUGUAUAAUAUCAGCUAUACCUUUUUUUGCAUAGCAAACUGGAAAUGAAUGAGACUGAAAUAAAAAAGAGAUUGCAGAUUAAAAAAAACAAUGAAGAAAGAAAGAAAAGAAUCUAUUUCAAGACUCUACUGUUCUUGAAGUUGGUGUUGGUAUGGCGAUAAAGGAUGCUCGAGGUAACAUCAUUGGCUCGUCUGCUAUUCCACUUAAUGUGUUCUUUGACACCCCCAAUGAAGCUGAAGCCUGAAGGUAUUUUACUUUGCGAAAGCUCCUUAUCUUGUCAUUUGGCAUUGUUCUUGAUAUUAUUUACUAGCUAUUCACUGAAUUUUCUGUUCAAGACUUGCUAAUGGUGUGGAUCACUCCUUAACAAAGCUUGCAUUGUUUAUGGAAAAUGCUCAGAAAAAAGAAAGAAAGAGAGACGAAUCUAUUUGAUUUGUUGCUAGAUUUAGUGCAAAUAAUUCAAAGGGGUCGAGAAAAUAAAAAUGGUAACUACUUUUUGGCCUUUUAUUGUGGAGUCUCUUCAACAAGAUAAAGGGGAAUUUGAGUAGCCAUGAAAAUGCAGAAUGAAACAACAACAACAAUACAAGAGUUUUUCUGUUUUCCAUAGAAGCAAGCUUCUCACUACUUUGGAUCGAAGUUGGUAAGAACAGGCAACCAGACAAAAUCUUGGAGACCAGGACCUAGGCCUCAGCGACUUUGUCCCUAUCACCAAUAAUUUUGCUCUCUUUCAUUUUCCAUUCUCUCUCCAAUAAAAUUGGAUCUCUCUUUUUUUUUCUUUUGUCAGUUCCACUUUUAAGUAUUACAUUUGCUUGUUGGAUUAAAUUACUAUAAAAAUAAUUCUUACUCCACUCACUUAAGAAUCACUGUCUGUCGGCUUGUAGUUUGUUUUGGCUUGUAGUUGGUAAAAUAAUGUUAAUGACACUUAAGAAUUUACACUCAUUAUUAUUAUUAUUGACAA